UACAGAGGGUGCGAGCGUUGUCCGGAAUCACUGGGCGUAAAGGGCGCGUAGGUGGCGCCGCAAGUCCAUGGUGAAAGCUCGAUGCUCAACAUCGAGUCGGCCACGGAGACUGCGGGGGCUCGAGCACUGUAGGGGCAGAUGGAAUUCCGGGUGUAGCGGUGGAAUGCGUAGAGAUCCGGAGGAACACCGGUGGCGAAGGCGGGUCUCUGGGCCGAUACUGACGCUGAGGAGCGAAAGCGUGGGGAGCAAACAGG
rnacentral:rRNA from 1 species